rnacentral:rRNA from 1 species
GUGGGGAAUUUUGGACAAUGGGCGCAAGCCUGAUCCAGCAAUGCCGCGUGCAGGAAGAAGGCCUUCGGGUUGUAAACUGCUUUUGUACGGAACGAAACGGUCCUGGUUAAUACCUGGGGCUAAUGACGGUACCGUAAGAAUAAGCACCGGCUAACUACGUGCCAGCAGCCGCGGUAAUACGUAGGGUGCGAGCGUUAAUCGGAAUUACUGGGCGUAAAGCGUGCGCAGGCGGUGCUGUAAGACAGGCGUGAAAUCCCCGGGCUCAACCUGGGGAUUGCGCUUGUGAAUGCAGUGAUGGAGUACGGCAGAGGGGGAUGGAAUUCCGCGUGUAGCAGUGAAAUGCGUAGAUAUGCGGAGGAACACCGAUGGCGAAGGCAGUCCCCUGGGCCUGUACUGACGCUCAUGCACGAAAGCGUGGGGAGCAAACAGGAUUAGAUACCCGAGUAGUCC